AUGAACGCUGGCGGCGUGCCUAAUACAUGCCAGUCGAGCGAACAGAUGAGGAGCUUGCUCCUCUGACGUUAGCGGCGGACGGGUGAGUAACCCGUGGAUAACCUACCUAUAAGACUGGGAUAACUUCGGGAAACCGGAGCUAAUACCGGAUAAUAUAUUGAACCGCAUGGUUCAAUAGUGAAAGACGGUUUUGCUGUCACUUAUAGAUGGAUCCGCGCCGCAUUAGCUAGUUGGUAAGGUAACGGCUUACCAAGGCAACGAUGCGUAGCCGACCUGAGAGGGUGAUCGGCCACACUGGAACUGAGACACGGUCCAGACUCCUACGGGAGGCAGCAGUAGGGAAUCUUCCGCAAUGGGCGAAAGCCUGACGGAGCAACGCCGCGUGAGUGAUGAAGGUCUUCGGAUCGUAAAACUCUGUUAUUAGGGAAGAACAAAUGUGUAAGUAACUAUGCACGUCUUGACGGUACCUAAUCAGAAAGCCACGGCUAACUACGUG
rnacentral:rRNA from 1 species